AUUGAACGCUGGCGGUAUGCCUUACACAUGCAAGUCGAACGGCAGCAGGGUAAGCGCUCGCGUUGAGAGGGGGCGAGUGAUGUAUCGGAACGGGCUACGUCGGGGUGUAUUAUUGCGCGGAGGAGCAGGUAGUGCCGCAUACGCCCUUAGGGCGUACGCGGGGCAUGGCAAGACCUCGCGUCUUCGGACCUGCCGAUAUCAGAUGAGGUAGUUGGGGAGGUAAAGGCUCACCAAGCCGACGAUCCGUAGCUGGUCUGAGAGGACGAGCAGCCACACUGGGACUGAGACACGGCCCAGACUCCUACGGGAGGCAGCAGUGGGGAAUAUUGGACAAUGGGCGCAAGCCUGAUCCAGCCAUACCGCGUGCGUGAAGAAGGCCUUCGGGUUGUAAAGCGCUUUUGUUAGGGAAGAAAAGCAGCUGGCUAAUACCUCGCUGUUAUGACGGUACCCAAAGAAUAAGCACCGGCUAACUUCGUG
rnacentral:rRNA from 1 species